AUACGUAGGGGGCGAGCGUUGUCCGGAAUGAUUGGGCGUAAAGGGCGCGUAGGCGGCCCGGUAAGUCUGGAGUGAAAGUCCUGUUUUCAAGAUGGGAAUUGCUUUGGAUACUGUCGGGCUUGAGUGCAGGAGAGGUAAGUGGAAUUCCCAGUGUAGCGGUGAAAUGCGUAGAGAUUGGGAGGAACACCAGUGGCGAAGGCGACUUACUGGACUGUAACUGACGCUGAGGCGCGAAAGUGUGGGGAGCAAACAGGAUUAGAUACCCUGGUAGUCCACACUGUAAACGAUGAAUGCUAGGUGUAGGGGGUAUCGACCCCUUCUGUGCCGCAGUCAACACAAUAAGCAUUCCGCCUGGGGAGUACGGCCGCAAGGUUGAAACUCAAAUGAAUUGACGGGG
rnacentral:rRNA from 1 species